rnacentral:misc_RNA from 1 species
UUGUGGAGGAGGACGCCGAAGGUGGGGCUAAUGACUGGGGUGAAGUCGUAACAAGGUAGCCGUACCGGAAGGUGCGGCUGGAUCACCUCAUAACAGGGAGACAACAAAAUGUUUAUUAUUAUUUUGUCACCUUAGGUCGAUCGGUAUCUCACAUUCUUAACUUAUUAAGAAUUUCAUUUCCUAAGUUUUUCUAGGUCACACCCAUUAUUUUCCUGGGCCAUUAGCUCAGGUGGUUAGAGCGCACCCCUGAUAAGGGUGAGGUCCCUGGUUCAAGUCCAGGAUGGCCCAUAUCUCUAUGUUGGGGGUAUAGCUCAGUUGGUAGAGCGCCUGCUUUGCAAGCAGGAUGUCAGCGGUUCGAGUCCGCUUACCUCCACUGAUUACCACCUCUUCCAUAAAUUUCAGAAAGGAAAAUUUUUGAGUUGUGAUCAAAUUCUGAACGAAUCUAGCUUCCUAAUGAAAUCAUUAAGAUGCUGGACUCAUUGAAUUAAUUUCAUUGUUUUCAGAGAACCUUGACAACUGCAUAGAUUAUUUUUAAAGACAAUAAGCAUCUUUUAAUGAUGCAGAUUUAUUAUUUGUGCGAAUGCAUUAAUAACAAUUCUAUUAAGCUGAUGCUUCAAUUAUGAAGUUAUUGGUCAAGCUACAA